GUGGGGAAUAUUGGACAAUGGGCGAAAGCCUGAUCCAGCAAUGCCGCGUGAGUGAUGAAGGCCUUAGGGUUGUAAAGCUCUUUUACCAGGGAUGAUAAUGACAGUACCUGGAGAAUAAGCUCCGGCUAACUCCGUGCCAGCAGCCGCGGUAAUACGGAGGGAGCUAGCGUUGUUCGGAAUUACUGGGCGUAAAGCGCACGUAGGCGGUUACUCAAGUCAGAGGUGAAAGCCCGGGGCUCAACCCCGGAACUGCCUUUGAAACUAGGUAACUAGAAUCUUGGAGAGGUCAGUGGAAUUCCGAGUGUAGAGGUGAAAUUCGUAGAUAUUCGGAAGAACACCAGUGGCGAAGGCGACUGACUGGACAAGUAUUGACGCUGAGGUGCGAAAGCGUGGGGAACAAACAGGAUUAGAUACCCCGGUAGUCC
rnacentral:rRNA from 1 species